CGCCUUUGGAUAAAAAAUCAUAAGGUUUAGCCUGCCCGGUGACUUUUCGUUAAACGGCUGCAGUACUCUGACUGUGCAAAGGUAGCAAAAUCAAUUGUUCAUUAAUUGUGGACUGGAAUCAAUGGCCUGACGACAAAAAGACUGUCUCUUUUCACUAAUUUUGAAUUUAUUUUGAGAGUGAAGAAACUCUUAUAAUAAAGCGGGACGAGAAGACCCCGUUGAGCUUUAGGCAUAAUACUUAGUUAUAAAGUUGUAUGCUUUUAGUUGGGGCAACUAGUAUUUUUAAUAAAACAAUCUAACUUUGACAAUGAAUUAAUUCACUGUAGAGCCUUAAUUAUUAAGAACAAUAGAAUAAGUUACCAUGGGGAUAACAGCGUAAUUUUUUUUGAGAGUUCUUAUUGACAAAAAUGUUUGCGUCCUCGAUGUUGGAUCAUAGUUUCCUGGGGGUGCAGCAGCUUCCAAGGGUUGGUUUGUUCAACCAUUAAAACUAU
rnacentral:rRNA from 1 species